UACAGAGGGUGCGAGCGUUGUUCGGAAUCACUGGGCGUAAAGCGCACGUAGGCGGACUCUUAAGUCGGGGGUGAAAUCCUGGAGCUCAACUCCAGAACUGCCUUCGAUACUGGCGAUCUCGAGUCCGGAAGAGGUGAGUGGAACUCCUAGUGUAGAGGUGGAAUUCGUAGAUAUUAGGAAGAACACCAGUGGCGAAGGCGGCUCACUGGUCCGGUACUGACGCUGAGGUGCGAAAGCGUGGGGAGCAAACAGG
rnacentral:rRNA from 1 species